rnacentral:lncRNA from 1 species
CUACUACUACUACUACUACUACUACUACUACUACUACUACUACUACUACUACUACUACUACUACUACUACAACACCUACUACUACUACUACUACUACUACUACUGCUACGCAAAAAGUAAUUACGCACAUACAUGCACGAGGACACACACACACACACACACACACACACACACACACACACAAACAAACAGCACGGGACACUAUUUUUUACAAACCACUAGCUUUCAUCUUAAAAUUCCCUUGAAAACUCUAAAUAAAAAAGAAUUAUUAAGAAACUCACUUACUGGAACCUUUCAAACCACUAUACUUAAAUUUUUACCCGCGAAAGUAAAAGAAAAUAAGAAUAAAAUAGAUUUACUGUAAUAUUUCUCCAUAAACGUUUCCAAGUAUAUACACAAAACACCAAAAUGUCCACAAAACCUUAACAAACCCCACCUGUUGCUUAUAAACCCACUAAACCCUUAAAUAAACCCCUAAAAAAACACACAAAGCCUUCUAAAUCAAAAUAAACACAGUAAACACAAUAAUACAGAAGUACGAGAAUUAAUGUACGACAGUUACGCCACCCGCCGCCACCCCGAGACAGGCCGCGGGUAUAUAAAGGGCCAGCGGGGUGGAGGAGCAUCAGAAGACACUCAAAGCUUGUCGUGUUAACAUCUCCUGGUUACUUUUACGAGACCCACGUGGAUUUUUCUCUUAAGGAUUACAAUUGCUUUUGGAUUACUGGUGAAAUAGACCUUAAGUGGAUUUUGGUCUUGUUGUCUGCAGCUGCAAACUACUCUUGACUCUAUUGCACGUCACCGUAUGGGCAACGCCGUGCACAGGCUCCGCUCACUGCUCGCCAUGGACCGCCACGCCGCCGCCACCGCCGCCACCACCGCCACCGCCACGCCCACAGGCAACACGGGCGGCGCUGCGUGGGAGGAGGAGCUCGGGGACGAAUUCAUGGCAGUAGUAUUGUCUUUCUGUGCUCAUAUGGGCGGCCGUCUUGACGCCCUGGAUAACGCCCGUCUGUAUGAUGAAUUCCGCUCCUUCACCGCCCCCACGCCCACACCCCGCCACGCCACCCUCGGCCUCGCAUAGCACGCCACCGCACGCCCUCCAGGUGGCCGCUCAGACACUCAUACAGACACAAAGGGCACGCUGAUGAUGAUGAUGCGCCCUAGAAGUUUGGUGAUGAUAGUGGUGGUGGUGGUGGUGCUCUGCUGAGAGGGGCACCACCACGCCGCCCCGCCCCACGUGACCUGCCCCGCCACACUGCCCCGCCCAGCCACACCAGUCACAGGUGUGGGCGUGGGUGUGGGUGUAAUGCACGUACUAUACAUGUAUGUGUGUGUGUGUGUGUGUGUGUGUUCACGUGACCUGACCUGACCCUACUGUGAUAUAUGUGUGUGUGUAUGUAUGUAUGUAUGUGUGUAUAUAUGUAUGUAUGUAUGUAUGUAUGUAUGUAUUCUUCUCAUCCAGUUUCUUAUUCAGUGAGUGUAUUUAUGUAUAUUUAUGAGUGUGUGUGUGUGCGUGCGUGCGAGGAGGCGCGGCCCGGCUGGCUGAGAGCACCGCCUCCCCUCCCCCCUUCCCCCCUACCCCCCCCACGCCACACUGUUAAGUUAUUCAUUGUCUGUAAAUUAAUAAACUUAUUCUGUGCUGA